UAGAGGACAGAUGGCAGAAAUUUCCCAAGGGAGAAAAGAGAAUUACUACAGAAGAUCAGGAUCAGACCUGAACAGGAAGCUUGUUCCCAUCUUGAGGGUAAUUGGUGUGAAGUCCUACCUCCUCAAAGAACACCAACUUUUUCAGCAGACAAUUUCUAGCUUCCAUGCCGCCUUGGCUCAUCUCAAAGGCAAAGAAAAAAAGACAUGAAUAGAAGAAGCAUCAUCAGUGUUGCAGAAUCUGAUCCUGGCAGGUGGAAGGAUGAAGGCCAUAUGUGAUCAAUGUGGUCUAUAGAGCAAAAGCAGAUCAUUACUUUCAUGAAUGAGGUGGGUUAUUCUUGUGUUAGUUGGGCAAGAGAAGCAAAGUCAUGGUGUAGCAAAACACAAACACUUAAUCUGGUAAGAUAUGUGUAUCCUCUGCAUUUCCAAAUGCUUGUUUAAAGGUUAAUCUAUAUUAUGGUUUCACUUUAUGGCUUGCCAGUGCAGCUCACUGAUUGUACAGUGCUCUCAAAACAAUCUGCCAUUUGAGAAAUCCACUAAUAACGGUCAAUAGUCAGCAUCAGAAAUGGUCUGGGAAAUGCCCGUUCCCUUCAAAG